rnacentral:rRNA from 1 species
UACCAGCACCCCGAGUGGUCGGGACGAUUAUUGGGCCUAAAGCAUCCGUAGCUUGUUCUGCAAGUCCUCCGUUAAAUCCACCUGCUCAACAGAUGGGCUGCGGGGGAUACUACAGGGCUAGGAGGCGGGAGAGGCAAACGGUACUCAGUGGGUAGGGGUAAAAUCCUCUGAUCCACCGAAGACCACCAGUGGCGAAGGCGGUUUGCCAGAACGCGCUCGACGGUGAGGGAUGAAAGCUGGGGGAGCAAACCGG